rnacentral:rRNA from 1 species
UACGGGGGGGGCAAGCGUUGUUCGGAAUUACUGGGCGUAAAGGGCUCGUAGGCGGCCAACUAAGUCAGACGUGAAAUCCCUCGGCUUAACCGGGGAACUGCGUCUGAUACUGGAUGGCUUGAGGUUGGGAGAGGGAUGCGGAAUUCCAGGUGUAGCGGUGAAAUGCGUAGAUAUCUGGAGGAACACCGGUGGCGAAGGCAGCUUACUAGGCUGUAACUGACGCUGAGGCACGAAAGUGUGGGGGAUCAAACAGGAUUAGA